AUUGAACGCUGGCGGCAUGCCUUACACAUGCAAGUCGAACGGUAACGCGGGGCAACCUGGCGACGAGUGGCGAACGGGUGAGUAAUGCAUCGGAACGUGCCCAGUGGUGGGGGAUAACUGCUCGAAAGAGCAGCUAAUACCGCAUACGACCUGAGGGUGAAAGCGGGGGAUCGCAAGACCUCGCGCUAUUGGAGCGGCCGAUGUCAGAUUAGGUAGUUGGUGGGGUAAAGGCCCACCAAGCCAACGAUCUGUAGCUGGUCUGAGAGGACGACCAGCCACACUGGGACUGAGACACUGCCCGGACUCCUACGGGAGGCAGCAGUGGGGAAUUUUGGACAAUGGACGCAAGUCUGAUCCAGCCAUGCCGCGUGCGGGAAGAAGGCCUUCGGGUUGUAAACCGCUUUUGUCAGGGAAGAAACGCUCUGGGUUAAUACCUCGGGGUAAUGACGGUACCUGAAGAAUAAGCACCGGCUAACUACGUGCCAGCCGCCGCCGUAAUAC
rnacentral:rRNA from 1 species